rnacentral:rRNA from 1 species
UGGGGAAUUUUGGACAAUGGGCGAAAGCCUGAUCCAGCAAUGCCGCGUGUGUGAAGAAGGCCUUCGGGUUGUAAAGCACUUUUGUCCGGAAAGAAAUCCUCUGGGUUAAUACCUCGGGGGGAUGACGGUACCGGAAGAAUAAGCACCGGCUAACUACGUGCCAGCAGCCGCGGUAAUACGUAGGGUGCAAGCGUUAAUCGGAAUUACUGGGCGUAAAGCGUGCGCAGGCGGUUUCGUAAGACGGAUGUGAAAUCCCCGGGCUUAACCUGGGAACUGCAUUCGUGACUGCAAGGCUAGAGUAUGGCAGAGGGGGGUAGAAUUCCACGUGUAGCAGUGAAAUGCGUAGAGAUGUGGAGGAAUACCGAUGGCGAAGGCAGCCCCCUGGGCCAAUACUGACGCUCAUGCACGAAAGCGUGGGGAGCAAACA